ACACCGUCAUGUUUCCCUGGACCAGCUGAACAAACUCCCUCUCCUUUAAAUGUCGGAUGUGCUCGGGGAGGUACUCAGCAUGAAAGGCUGCUAGGAACUGCUCCCAAGUGACAGGCGUAGGCAGGGUGGUCUGCUUGAGCUCCCACCAACGAUCUGUUUCCCCCACUAGCAUGUAGGAAGCAAGAGUAACCCUCUGCUCAGGAACCACUCCUAAGGUCUUGAAAGCCUUCUCUGUCUCCGCCAACCAGUACUGGGCAUCUUCGAAAGAGGACUCCCCUGCAAAAGUGGAAGGGUUUAGUCUCCUGUACCUCUCUACGUAGCCCGGGUCAAUCAGGAAAGGAGCUGGGUCCCGUGAAAGAGGGACUGGGCCAGGCUGAGGAUAGACUGGGGGGCCCUGUGGUGGCACCUGCUGAUAUAGUAGGGGCACUGGAUUAUACUGUGACGGUGGUGCCGGGUGGUACUGUGGAGGAGCAAGCUCUUGCCGGGG
rnacentral:lncRNA from 1 species